rnacentral:rRNA from 1 species
GACGAACGCUGGCGGCGUGUCUAAUACAUGCAAGUCGAGCGGACAGAUGGGAGCUUGCUCCCUGAAGUCAGCGGCGGACGGGUGAGUAACACGUGGGCAACCUGCCUGUAAGACUGGGAUAACUUCGGGAAACCGGAGCUAAUACCGGAUACGUUCUUUUCUCGCAUGAGAGAAGAUGGAAAGAUGGUUCCGGCUAUCACUUACAGAUGGGCCCGCGGCGCAUUAGCUAGUUGGUGAGGUAAUGGCUGACCAAGGCGACGAUGCGUAGCCGACCUGAGAGGGUGAUCGGCCACACUGGGACUGAGACACGGCCCAGACUCCUACGGGAGGCAGCAGUAGGGAAUCUUCCGCAUUGGACGAAAGUCUGACGGAGCAACGCCGCGUGAACGAUGAAGGCCUUCGGGUCGUAAAGUUCUGUUGUUAGGGAAGAACAAGUACCAGAGUAACUGCUGGUACCUUGACGGUACCUAACCAGAAAGCCACGGCUAACUACGUGCCAGCCGCCGCAGUAACAC